AUUAACAUCUUGUCUGCAUCCCACAACAGGCAGAUGGCCCUGUGCAGGGCUGAGCUGAAAGAGGUGACCAGGGCCUCCUCGCACCUUGCCCACCAGAGUGAGCCUGGCCUGCAGCUCCCUGCACUCCCGCUGCAAGGCAGCAAUCUGCUUGUCCUUGGCCAGCAGUGCACUGGCUGUCUCACUGAGGUCCCGGGCUCGCUGGCGGGCUAGGGCCUUCCGACACAACUCCAAGCUGGUCCCCGGCCGGGGCAAGGGGGCACUCACCUAGCCAGAGGAGGGGUUGGCUGAACUCUUCCCCACCCACAAAGGAGGCUGCAGAAGGCGCCAGGGCUGCUGGAGCUGGAGCCAGGGCCUCCUGCCCCCAACAGGAUUCCUCACAUCCCAGGACCAGCUGGAAAAGGUGGUGAGAGUUGGAAAGAGACUGCUCAGUGAGGACUGCCCUGCGAACCAGCUUGGAUUCAUCCCGUUCACCUCCACGUUCUGCACGCGGGGCCGAGGGAAGGGAGGCAGCCCAGGCAGCUAGAGAACUUGAUGAAACACACUCAAUCUGAAUCUCGCUUGAUCGUCAUGCUGACCCAGUGAGGGUCAGGCAUCCUUUCCGACUACUCGCUCAGCAGCGGAUCCCCACCCGCCUCUGACUCCCAGUGUCUUUCGGCUCCAACGUAAGUUCACCGAACGUCUAAGAGCUGAGGAUUCAAAGGCAUGUUAAGACCGCCCCUGCCCUCAGCUGCAAGACCUGUCCGCGAUCCUACGAGCCCCAUUCCGCCCUCUUUCCCCGACCUUGGUCCCCCAUGGGCCCUACAACCAGGUCCCCGACUGACACCUUGACCAGCGAACACAGCAAACAGGCCCGCAGAUGCCGCAGGUCCUUCGGCACCGUCUCCAGGGCCAUCUUCGCCGAUGGGAAGAACAACAGGGAGCUAGACGACCACAGCCUGUGCACCCGCAGGAAGUAAAUAGCUCGUUACCCAGAAUGCCCACCACUUCCGGCGCUUAGACUUCCUCUUCCGGUGUGGGCGGGCGCCAGCUCCGCCCCUACCCCCGCCAGAGGAGAUGGUUUCUCCCACCGGCAGGCGGGGAGGCUGGGCGGCCGGCCGCCACCUGGGCCGGGGCGCGUCGCAGCCACCUGAGCCCGCCGAGGGCGCGGCGGAGGCUGUGUAGGGUAGUCAGCGGGCCCCCGGGGCGGGGGGGCGGCUGCGCUUGCGCGGGAGUGUGUCGGGCUGAGCCGCAGCGCCGAGACGCGGGCUGUUUGAUCUGGGCUGGUGGCCCUGGGCGCCGGUCCUGUUCCCCGAUGGUAACCCGAAGUUUGUUUUUUUUUUGUUUUGUCUCCCCGUUUUAGAAGCAUUGGGGGCAGUGAAUCCACUGUCUCCCUCUGGAUUGUCUCUGCAGAGACCGAGAAGAAAUCCAGGGACAGCCCCACCCCUCCUUCCUAACUGCGAGAGCGCUAUAGGGUUUCCACUUGCUUCCCACAGGAAUGCUGGCCUGGGAGCUACGGCGGAAAAAAAUGCGUAUUUAUCUUUUAAAACUCCGUCUGUUUGCUCGUUCCGGCUGAUAAUUUAUACUUUGCGCAGUUCUUAGCGCUUAGACACGGUUCCUUUACUAAAGACCAUUUGUAGGAGAUUAGGUGUCCUUUUUUUCCCUUUCAUUUCACCGUCUAGGAAGCGAAAUGCCUUGUUCUAUAGGCACCAAACCACCACCCCUACCAAACCUUUCUCGGGGAAGCAGAAGGGGAACUUGUGCCUUGUGAGGAAGCGACAAAGGCCCCUUCUGGCCCUGGAGACUUCACGCCAAUGGAGCACCAGCUCUCUGUCCUCGCAAUAGCCCGAGUGCAGGCAGAACGCAGUCAUUUGUGUUUAUCUGAGAGGAGCUUUGGGAUAUAAAUAGUUUCAGGCCCCGCUGCUCUGUCAUUCCAGCCCAGCCUCCUGAUUGAGCUGCUUCCGGGCGGGCUUGCUUCUUGUUGGCGGUCCCAUGCUGUGUUCAGAUGGGCUCUGUGACAGGUUUGGAUGUUUUCUAUCACUGAAUAAAACUUUCCACUUUGGAACAU
rnacentral:antisense_RNA from 1 species